GGCGGGGGCCGGCUGCUGCCCACGGAGGUUGCGGUUCUCGGUGCUCAGCUCGUCCAGCCGCCGCUCCAGCUCGUCGAUGCGCUGGCGCUGGGUGUGGAUGAGGCUCUGCUGGUUCUGCACGAUGGCGGUGAGCUCCUUCAGAAUUUCGAGGAGCAAAUGAAGAGACAAAAAGGAUCCUGUGACUCAAAAGCAACAGAACUUGCUCCAGGCUCUUAUUUGAGGAACGCAGCAGAAUUGCUUCAGCCAGCUACCACCAUCCACAUUCUUGCAACUGACUCCUUAUGCAAUCACAUCAUCCUGUAGCAGGGGGCAUCAGAUCUUUGCUUUAGCUGUGUUUACCUGACACUCUUCCUAUGCACUACUGAGGAACAAGGACACCAUCACAUACCUGAACGAGGGAUCAAGGCCACAUGAGCAAACAGAAGCCUCUCUUCAAAGACGUCACCACGCAGGAGCACGUAAUGGUGCAUACUCAAGGCGAAGCUCCUGCUGCUUCCACACAGAUAUAUUCAAAGACAGAAAGGAGUAACUCAUAACAUGACAAUCUGCCUGUCCUGUCUGGGUCUCCAAAGAGAAGCAGGAGCAAAAACUGCAUCACUGGUAGUACUGGUUCAGAUAAACCCAGGGAGUUACUGUGAUGGAAGCCCAAAUAGAGAUGAUGAUUUGCCAACUUUUUACCACACACCAUGCUAAUUGAUCCUCUUCACCCUUGCUGGCACUUCCAGCGGUGUCACUGCUGCUUCAGCUGAACUGCACUGUCUGAGAACCAGCCACAGCCUGAGCUCUACACAAAACACUGCAGCAAGUUGUGCCCUGGAGAACUUACAGUCUGGUGGGCAGUGCAGGCAGGGGAUGUCAGAAGGGCUCUGGCACUCAAGAAGAAUAAAUAAUGUGAUGCUGGUGAGUGAUGUUUAAAGCUGUGAGUCCAGGGCUGAGGAGGAGGUUUGGAUGACAGGGAAGAAAGUGUAGAAGCAGAAGGGGUUGAGGAAGGGACUUCAACAAAAGUGGCAGAGAAGAAAGCGAAGGGGGACAGAUAUGGUGCUUCUGUCAACUUCAGGCUCUAAUUUGUUCCACUCCACUGCAUCUUACCCCAAAGCCCCAUUGCUAGGAGGGAAGAGGAAGGCCACAUGUUUGUGGGAAAAUUUGUGUGUGGGAAAAGGGUCUCCACAAAUCUGAGUCAGAAGAAAGCUUGCACAGAAGGAGAGGUGGCUGUAAUUGGCCCUUAUUUUAUCCCCCUGCAACAAGAACACCUCAGAGGUAAUACAUAUAUUGUUAUGCUUAGAGCAUCUAUAACUCUAGGCAGUAAAAAACAAAAAGUACUUAGCAUAUGUCUUUUGUCCCCAAAUGACACAACAUUGUUUAGUUAUCUCUGGUUUCAACAUCCUGUGAUCAUUUACUGAUCAUUAGCACACACUCAGAGGAGCUGCUAAUUGUCACCAGACACAGAACAAGGGACAGUUGUUCAAGGAGGACCCUGCCUGUUCUUCUAAGGCAACACUACAAGCAAAACACGAGAGUCAGACCUGAAGAAAAACCCGAGGUCCAAACACUUCUAAAUGUUAGGCAAGCUCAACCCUGUGUCCAACUGCAAUAGUAAAACAUUCCUCAGAUCUGAAAAACUGUAAAAUAAGAGGAAAGUCUGGAGUAAGAUCUGAUCUGUUUUCUGGCCCUCUCCUGACCUUGUCCAAAAGCGGCUCAGCCAGCUCUGCCUGAAUGUUUGACAAACACUACUCAACAGACUACAAGAGAUUUCCAGCAUCUUCAAAACACACAACCACAGCAGCAUUCUGUAUUCUCCUCACCUUUGCUUUUUGCAUUUUCCUUUCAUGUCCUGAGUUUUGUGUUAUUAAAUUUUGGUGUAAAACAUUAUAAUAAAUAAUAAGUAGCAACAUUUUCCAUCCUAAAGAUAUCAAAGAUGGAGAAAUAUUAUUGUUUCCAUUUUCCUAGUGAGGAAAGUGAGGCACUAAUUACUUGCCCAAGGUGACUUUGCUCUGUAAAAGAUACUGCAGCAAGAGACAGAGCAAACUAAUGUAAUGUUCUGAAGGUUGGGUUUGUUGGUUUGCAGGGGUUUUUUUUGUUGGUUUGGUUUGGUUUGGUUUGUUUUUUUUUACUUGAGAAAAAAGCAAUCUGGUGGGAAAAUGCAGUUUCAGAAAAGUGAAAAUGAGUUCAAAUAUAAUGUGAAUCUGAAAGAGUUGCCUCUUGCGCAUGAAUUUGUGGCUGUGACACAACAGAUGAGUGAUCAGUUUGUGUACAGAUAAUUGCAAUGAGUCUAGCCUACAGGAAAAAAAGUCUUUCUGCAAGAGCUCUGGACACGGUGGAAGCGCUUGAAUAUUGCGGUGACAGAAAAGCUAAAAGACAGAAUAAGGACUCUAGACAGCCAGGGAGAGGCAUGCAGAAGCACAGAAAACCUGACAUGCCCUGAGCUGCUCUGGAUCAGCCAGUAGCUCACAGUGAGGAUUGUGCCGGCAACUCACAGCAAAGCAGAGCGUGCAAAGCCUCCACGCAGCCUGCAGGAAGACCUGUGGAAGCAUCUGGCUUCAUUUACUCACCUGGCAGAGGGCAAAAGCAGGUUCUGACAGAGGGGGGCUCCAGGUCACUCUCUUGCCAUGCAGAACAAAGUGACUGAAAGUGGCAGUGCCCCCCCUAACUCAUGUUUCCUGUUGGUAUUGACUUGGGCAACGGCUCUAGGAAAGCCAGAAGGCAUUUUCCAAACCAGCAAUGAGUGCAUUUCCCGACUGUAUAACCUCUGCCACACAGUCACAUGUGACUUGGCACAACCACAAGGCGCUGCCUUUUGCACCCCAUGAAAAAUCCCAUCUUACUGACUGAUGGGAAGAAGGACCUCUGUCUAAAUCUUCCCGUACCCGGGCAAAAGUGGGUGGUAGUGCUCCUUUUGUUAGGGGAGAAAAACACUGUGCCUGAUUUUGUUGGCUGGAACUUGCCAAUGCAAAGCAGCAGCAGAGCGAGCUUGGUGGCCACAGGUGGCAGUCAGCUCCUUGAGAACAGCCUUUGCUAAAGUAAGAGGAUCCUGUCCUCAGGACCACUGAAAAUGAGCCACCAAAAGGUUAUGAAAUGCAGCCAGUAAACAUUGCUCUGGAGAGAGAAGAAAUUGCGUCCAUUAUUCUACUGGCUGGGAAUGGUGUCACUCAGUCUCCACCAGCCAGCUGUGUGGGUUGAGAUGUGCUGGAGAUCAGUGCCUCUGCAGUUGAAUUAAACACUGUAUUAAGCAGCUGCUCUUGGCACAAGUCUGAUGAGGAGCGGCUGAGGGAA